UACGGGGGGAGCAAGCGUUGUUCGGAUUUACUGGGCGUAAAGGGCGCGUAGGCGGCCAGCAAAGGUCAGUUGUAAAAUCUCCGGGCUUAACUCGGAAAGGUCAACUGAUACUGUGCGGCUAGAGUGCAGAAGGGGCAACUGGAAUUCUCGGUGUAGCGGUGAAAUGCGUAGAUAUCGAGAGGAACACCUGCGGCGAAGGCGGGUUGCUGGGCUGACACUGACGCUGAUGCGCGAAAGCCAGGGGAGCGAACGGG
rnacentral:rRNA from 1 species